GAUGAAGAACGUAGCGAAAUGCGAUAAGUAGUGUGAAUUGCAGAAUACAGUGAAUCAUCGAAUCUUUGAACGCACAUUGCGCCCCUUGGUAUUCCAUGGGGCAUGCCUGUUCGAGCGUCAUUUGUACCUUCAAGCUUUGCUUGGUGUUGGGUGUUUGUCCUGAGGGACUCGCCUUAAAGUAAUUGGCAGCCAGUGUUUGGUUUUGAAGCGCAGCACAAGUCGCGAUUCAAAGCUAUACGCCCGCUUCCACAAGCCUUUUUCACUUUUGACCUCGGAUCAGGUAGGGAUACCCGCUGAACUUAAGCAUAUCAAUAAGCGGAGGA
rnacentral:misc_RNA from 1 species